rnacentral:rRNA from 1 species
UGAGGAAUAUUGCACAAUGGGCGCAAGCCUGAUGCAGCGACGCCGCGUGAGUGAAGAAGGCCUUCGGGUCGUAAAGCUCUUUUCUGCGUGACGAGGAAGGACGGUAGCGCAGGAAUAAGUCUCGGCUAACUACGUGCCAGCAGCCGCGGUAAAACGUAGGAGACAAACGUUAUCCGGAGUUACUGGGCGUAAAGGGCGUGCAGGUGGUCUGCUAAGUCUGGCGUGAAAGCUCUCGGCUAAACCGGGAGAGGUCGUUGGAUACUGGCGGACUAGAGGACGGUAGAGGCGUGUGGAAUUCCGGGUGUAGUGGUGAAAUGCGUAGAGAUCCGGAGGAACACCAGUGGCGAAGGCGACACGCUGGGCCGUACCUGACACUAAUACGCGACAGCAUGGGGAGCGAAC